UUUUCUUUGUGGUUUUGCCAGUUCAACCUUGUUACUGAACCUUGUCGCUGUGCUUUGAUGUGGUCUUGUGUAAAUUUUACUUUUGGAGUUAUUGCACUGGAAUUCUGGACCGGCCGACCAACCGAUCUGCCUGUUUCUUGUUACCAGUUGGCCUGCAGGCUUAUCUACAUGAAACUACCAGAGUGACACCAGAGCCCAAGGAGUAAGACCAAAACACAUCCAGGAGAGAAGCGGGAGAUGAGAAGAAAGAGAGAUCGCAUUCGAAGAAAUAUCUCCUGGAACCUGGCGCAGCUGUUGCUCAGUUGGUAGAGUCGUUGUCUCU